UGAAAUUUACAUUCGCGCGUCAAGUCAGCAGAGACUGAGAGAAGGGUGAUGGCGGAUGUUCGUACGAAGGGAGAAAGGGAUUGAAGAUUGUUUAUAAUCCAUAAUUUGUGUUUAGCAUCUAGCUGGAAGGCGAACUGCUCUUACAGGGUGACUAUGGCUGUGGAGUGAAUAAAUGGGUUGGAAUACCCCGCCAUAGUCCGAACUGAACAAGUCCGGCUGGAAUGCUACACCUAGCUGCAGUUCCUGACCAUCUUCUGACUCCAAUCUACAAGGAAGUGCAGUCUGUGGAGAAUGUCUGUCCCCCUCACAGUGCUACCCUUUCUUCCUCCGUACCUAUGUGUCCAUGGUCACCAGUCUGUUCUAGAGCGCACUGAAUCCAGCCAAGCAUUGCCUGAUGGCUAACAAGACAGGGACCCGUCCUGCUGAAAGCUGCCACAGCCGAAGACCUGAGCGUGUUAGAAAGUGACCCGCUGAGCAAAGCGCCGUUCAAGAAAGUGUUGUUUCAUCAGGAUAACUGUCAGUUUUGGUUUUGAUGACGGAUCGCCAUCAAUACGUCUAAAUGAGUUCAAAUUGAGGGAAUGAGUCAGAUGUUUGUUUCUCUAAUUAUGUGGAGAAUAUUGAGCUAUAAUCAAGGCUGAUUCAAAUCUGUCGGCUUCACAGAGCAGAUUCAAGGUCUUUCAUUUGAAAUGAGAAGUGAGCCUGACCAAAUCCUAAUUUUCUCCUCAUUACUGAGCUUUUGGAGGGAAUGAAUCAGACUGCUGUUUACAUGCAUGUGGGGUGAUGGGUGUGUAUGAGGCACAAAAUAAAAAAAUAAAAAAACAAGAUUUUUUUUUUUUUUUUGCAGAUGACGGUAGGAAAAAUGGUGGGUGGAAGUAAAAAUAAAUGUUGCUCUCUUAAGAUGUUUAUUUGUUUCUGUACUAUUGGAGGGAGGGGGGUGGGAAUUGAAGUCAGUAAAACAUGAAAAGAUCCACAGUCAGGAAGAAGGUCCAAACCUUAAAAAAGUUAAAGAUUUGUCUUUAUUAUCAAUAAUUAGCAAGCAAAAUGGUAUUUAUUGCUGAUGAGUCGUAUUUCAAAUCUACGUGUUAUUAUCUGAAUAUUGUACAAACAACAGACGCUGUAAAAGACCAACUUCAAAAGCUCUUUGCUCAAAGUGGAGGACUAAGAGGAGAAUAAAGACCACUAACAGAAAUCGAUCCACUGG